rnacentral:rRNA from 1 species
CAGUGAAUAAUUAAACGGCCGCGGUAUCCUAACCGUGCAAAGGUAGCAUAAUCAUUUGUCUAUUAAUUGUAGACCUGUAUGAAAGGCAAAAUGAGGGUUUAACUGUCUCUUGUAGUAAAUCUAUAAAACUGAUCUACUAGUAAAAAAGCUAGAAUACCACCAUAAGACCAGAAGACCCUGUGAAGCUUUAACUAAACUAUUAAACCAAAUAAUAAUUACUUUAGGUUGGGGCGACCUUGGAAAUAAAAAGAACUUCCAAUACAAUAAAUAUUACAAAGGCCCACAAGCCAACUAACGACCCAGUAACACUGAUAAUUGAACCAAGUUACUCCAGGGAUAACAGCGCCAUCUUCUUCAAGAGCCCAUAUCAAAAAGAAGGCUUACGACCUCGAUGUUGGAUCAGGACACCCCAAUGGUGCAACCGCUAUUAAAGGUUCGUUUGUUCAACGAUUAAUGUCCUACGUGAU